CUUUUUUCCUGCGCACCAUGGAGCGGCCUAGGCGGAGGAGGCCAGGGAAGGAGCCUCCCAACGCGAGCUCGAGUGGCAACGCGGGUGUCUGCUCCGCCGCCGGGAGGGGAUCAUGGCGCGGAGGCGGUAGACGUGCGGCACGCCGGCAGCGAGCCGGCAGCACGACGACGACGGGCUGGGCCGGCAGCGGGCAUAGAGCGAAGUGGUCGAGGUAGGAGGGUGAGGUGGGGUAGCUGGCGGCCACCUCGCCGCCCGGAGCUCGUCGCGUUUCUCCCGUGCAGUCUUUGUUGACCUCCUCCCCUGCAGCCACGGAGCUGGCGUCUUCGACAUGGCAUCAAUGUCCAUAAGGACGCCGGAGGAGACGCGCUCGAGGAGGCCGAGCUCGUGUGCUCCCUUCUGUGCCGUCCCAACGCGUCUCUGCGGGAGUUGCUGCUAGCGGUUCAGGGUGCUGGGCGCGACGGUUGGUGCUGCUACUUUGGGCGCACGGGGGUUGCUACCGGUGGAGGCCGGCGUUGCUACCUUAGGCGUCCGUCGUUGCUACUGGCGAAGGGCGGAUAUUCUACCUUAGGCCUUCGGUGUUGCUACCAGCGGAGGGCGGCUUUUGCUACCGGUGGAUGCCAGCUUUGCUACAUUAGGCAUCAGAUAUUGCUACUGACGGUUCCAGGCGUUGCUACAAUUGCACAUAUAUGUUUGUUCCAGUGUCUCCGAUGAGUUCUCGAGCAUGUUUGUUUUUUGCUACAUUAGCAUAACUUUUUUGUUACAGAUCUCCGGCGAGGUCUCCGGCGAGCUCAGACUUUUUCUUUUAUUUCAUAGACGAACUGUUUUUUGCUACAUGCAGUUGCUGCCGAGAUAUGUAUUUUGCUGCCGAA